AUUCAACGCUGGCGGCAGGCCUUACACAUGCAAGUCGAACGAGUGGCGGACGGGUGAGUAAUGACUGGGAAACUGACUGAUGGAGGGGGAUAACAACUGGAAACGGUAGCUAAUACCGCAUACCAUCAGCUGUGCCCAGAUGGGAUUAGCUUGUGGGUGGGGUAACGGCUCACCAAGGCGACGAUCCCUAGCGGGUUUGCGAGGAUGACCAGCCACACUGUAACUGAGACACGGCCCAGACUCCUACGGGAGGCAGCAGUGGGGAAUAUGGGACAAUGGGGGCAAGCCUGAUCCAGCCAUGCCGCGUGUACGAAGAAGUCCUUCGGGUUGUAAAGUACUUUCGGCAGGGAGGCGUUACCUGCAGAAGAAGCACCGGCUAACUCCGUGCCAGCAGCCGCGGUAAUAC
rnacentral:rRNA from 1 species